AUGUCUAAAACGACUCUCGGCAACGGAUAUCUCGGCUCUCGCAUCGAUGAAGAACGUAGCGAAAUGCGAUACUUGGUGUGAAUUGCAGAAUCCCGUGAACCAUCGAGUCUUUGAACGCAAGUUGCGCCCCAAGCCUUUUGGCCGAGGGCACGUCUGCCUGGGUGUCACA
rnacentral:rRNA from 1 species